rnacentral:rRNA from 1 species
GAUGAACGCUAGCUACAGGCUUAACACAUGCAAGUCGCGGGGCAGCAUGGUGGUUGCUUGCAAUCCCCGAUGGCGACCGGCGCACGGGUGAGUAACGCGUAUCCAACCUGCCCUUCACCUCGCUAUAACCCGGCGAAAGUCGUACUAAAACCGUACGUCUUCCGUUUACGGCAUCCGAUUUGGUCGAAACGCUUGGGGGUGGGGUAGGGGGAUGCGUCCGAUUUGCCAGAGGGGGGGCUUACCGCCGGCCGUGGGUACGGUCGGUAGGGGUUCUGAGAGGGAGGUCCCCCACACGGGAACUGAGACACGGUCCAGACUCCUACGGGAGGCAGCAGUGAGGGAGAUUGGUCAAGGGGCGUAAGCCUGAACCAGCCAAGUAGCGUGCAGGAUGACGGCGCUAUGGGUUGUAAACUGCUUUUAUGCGGGGAUAAAGUGGCGCACGUGUGGGCUUUUGAAGGUACCGCAUGAAUAAGGACCGGCUAAUUACGUG